ACGAAGAAAAUCACAAUACCCCAUUCAGCCAACAUUCAACCAAAUAUAACACCCACAUUCUCUCUCUCUCACACACACACACACACACACACACACACACACACACACACACACACACACACACACACACACACACACACAGACACACACAACACACACACAAACACACACACACACACACACACUUACUCAGUGUCCCCCAGUGCAGGUAUGACACAAUUGCCUUUCCACACUGUCAUUUCUCUAAUUCAACUUCCUGUGUCUCUCCUAGCAAGGUCACCAGCUGAACUCAUUGGUGUUGACACCCCGGAUGAUAGCGUAUUGUCCCCAGUGACACAUCCACAAGGCCGGGCGGUUUUACUCUCCACCUGCCCUGUGGGGGUGACAGCUGCCUGACUUGGAAGUUAAUGUCAAGCUGAUGUGGAGUGACAGUGGGCGCCCUGUCUGGCAGGCCCAGAGUGCGGGCCACCAUAUUGCCUGGCUCCCCAGGGAGGACAGAUCAGCAUGCCAGCCUUGCCAGAAAGUGCUAAUAGGCGCAACACGUCUUACUUUCACACAUUAAGGCGAGCAAAGGGUGACAUAUCGGAGCUGUGAUACUGCCGCAUGGAAAAAAGGUCUGCGCCACCCGUUUGCCAUGCGGCAACAGCUAAUGAUGAGCGCUGCUAAGCUGCGCUACAUGUCUGCCAAAUCUGAGCUGAAAUGCAUCCUGACAGAGACCGCCGUGAUACCAGUCACGAGAGCAAAUGAAGCCAACUUACAAAAACACCUGGCUGAUUGCAAAAAGUUUUUAAAAUAGGAGAAAAAUUAGAGAGAAAUAUGUAAUAUUUCAAUUUGGAAUACUGGUUGUUAUUUUUUUUUUCAGCCAUGACUGGGGACUGUGAGUCACUCUUCCUGUUAGUGGAAACAAACUCAUGGUCACACUAACUCUAACUCUAACUCUAUGCAUACUAGUGUGUCACCAACAAGAAAAGGGGGUUUGUGAAAAAAACCACAGAGCUUGCAAGGUGUCACCGCAAAGCCUAAUGAAAACACUAUGGUUUCCACAGAUAUUGAUUUCAUCUAUGGACCAGACCUCUAAUCUGCUUCAGAAACCAAUGAUUUAGAUUUAGAAAUUGUGCAGUUGACAUGUUAAUGUGAUAGGAUGUUUGUUUCCUGUUGUGUUAUUUGUGGAUAUUGCAAAUAAGAGGCAUGCAUACUGCAAUAUAAAAUGUCUUUGAUGAGGUCAUAUUGUUGGUAGAAAAAUGGGGUCACCUGGGCGAAGGUUUGAGCAUGAGGAGGUUUCUUUUGUACAAGUGCAUUGUGCAACAUUUCCGGCAUGAUAUGUGCAGAAAGUGAUUUUUUUAUUCAGUGUUUUUGUCUUGUUUUCCAGUACAAAUAUCUCAAUGUUCUUAAAUCAAGAAACAUUUACUUGAGAAGCAAAAUGAUGUCUAGUAU
ensembl:lncRNA